GACGAACGCUGGCGGCGUGCUUAACACAUGCAAGUCGAACGCUGAAGCUCAGCUUGCUGGGUGGAUGAGUGGCGAACGGGUGAGUAACACGUGAGUAACCUGCCCUCUUCUUUGGGAUAACGCCCGGAAACGGGUGCUAAUACUGGAUAUUCACUGAUUCUCGCAUGGGGGUUGGUGGAAAGGUUUUUUCUGGUGGGGGAUGGGCUCGCGGCCUAUCAGCUUGUUGGUGGGGUGAUGGCCUACCAAGGCUUUGACGGGUAGCCGGCCUGAGAGGGUGACCGGUCACAUUGGGACUGAGAUACGGCCCAGACUCCUACGGGAGGCAGCAGUGGGGAAGAGUGCACAAUGGGCGAAAGCCUGAUGCAGCGACGCCGCGUGAGGGAUGGAGGCCUUCGGGUUGUAAACCUCUUUCGCUCAUGGUCAAGCCGCAGCUUUGGGUUGUGGUGAGGGUAGUGGGUAAAGAAGCGCCGGCUAACUACGUG
rnacentral:rRNA from 1 species